rnacentral:lncRNA from 1 species
AUGGGCCUCGUCCCCCUGAAGGCAGAGCUGGAGCAGGAGGCACAUUUGCCGCUGUUCCCUCGCUGCAGGAUGGAACAGAGACCCCCGAUCCAACCCCGAGAGGCCUGGCCAGAGAGGCCUAGGGCAUCCCGUGCCCCCAGGCCCCAGCAGGGGCCGUUGAACUCAGCUGAGGGUCCUUCUCCCUCCGUCAUGUCACCGAAGGAGGAGGAUUACCUGAGCUGCAUCCGCGCCUACUGCACGUGCACACUGCAGUCUCAGGAAGAGGCUCAGAAGCUGAACUUUCUGGCCUGCGUCCGUGCCGCCUGCGAAGCCGCCCUCGAGGGCAGCGAGGCUCACGACCAGCUGUGUGCCUGCGCGUCCAAGGUGGCGCAGUGCAUUGAGACGCUGCUGCAGAAGGAGCCCGCCAAGCGCCUGGACACGGAGCUGCGGCAGCAGGCCAUGAGUGCCAUCGCCGCCAUGAGCGCUGCGCAGCUGCUUCCAGAGAAGCAGAAGAGCAGCCUCCUGUACGCCUGCAUCAGCAGCGUCCUUCACCUCCCUCGCCACGAGGACACAAAGGACCCGGACACUGCACUCUACGUGGAGACCAUGGAAGCCCUGCACCGCCUGCUGCAGGGGCUGGUGGGCAGCGCCGGCGCCUCUGUCCUCAUGGAGCUGCAGAACAUCUUGGAGGUCUGUCUGGGGCAAGGCUGGGAUUUGCGCAGGUGGUUUGAGGCUGUGAAGGGGGGAAGCCACAAAAGGCCCCCCAAGGGCCUGCUGAAGGGAGAGGGUGCUGGCCCGAGGCUGGCCCUUGCUGGGUUAGAAGGAAGGGUGGGGAGCAGUGGAAAGGCGGCGGGGCUGCAGCAGGACA